rnacentral:rRNA from 1 species
UAGGGAAUCUUCCACAAUGGACGCAAGUCUGAUGGAGCAACGCCGCGUGAGUGAAGAAGGUUUUCGGAUCGUAAAGCUCUGUUGUUGGUGAAGAAGGAUAGAGGCAGUAACUGGUCUUUAUUUGACGGUAAUCAACCAGAAAGUCACGGCUAACUACGUGCCAGCAGCCGCGGUAAUACGUAGGUGGCAAGCGUUGUCCGGAUUUAUUGGGCGUAAAGCGAGCGCAGGCGGAAUGAUAAGUCUGAUGUGAAAGCCCACGGCUCAACCGUGGAACUGCAUCGGAA